AAUUUUUAACUAUUUAAUUUUGGCAAUUCAUUCCCUGCAAUUUACCCCAAAGAUUUGCACAAUAUUGUUUGAGUAACUCUUGUGAAAUGCACUCAAAGAAGUAACGAGAUGAACAGGAUAUAACAUGGGUGACAUCCCACCAAUGAAUACUUGCCCCACCUACCUAUUCCAGUCCACACCAAUAAGAACAUGUUACUUUUCCACUCCCCAAAAAUCCAGAAUUUAAUUUUUAUUUGUAUAAAAUUAUUUUGGUAAUGGGUUCACUUAAAGAAAUGUUAAUCACUCUACUGAAAUCCAUGACAGUUUGAUCUCUGAGGUGUAGCCGCAGAUUAAUGUUUAACAUAUGACUUGAUGCAUCUUUUCCUGUCUCUUAGGUUGGUAAUGGCUCUAGUGAGCCAAAAGACAGAGGAGAAGAUUUGCAUCACAAAAAGCAGCGAGGAAAGGCUACUGCUGUUUCAUCUAAAGACAAGACUACAGAACAAGACAGAGACUUUAGCACUACCGACAAGGAUGUAGAGAUCAUACAUUCCGACUCAUCUCAUACUCAAGCAACAGAUGAAGAGAAUACGGCUGGACCGUCAGAUAUCAGAGGAGGAAGUUCAGCCCAUAAAAUGAGCGAUAACACCAUCUGCAGUGAUGGAAACACAGAUUCUUACUCAUCUGAUGAAGAUGAAGAAGACCCUAUUGCCAGUCAUCUGUCAGGUGGAAUAGCUGAGAGCAGAGGAGGAGAUCCGGACCAUGAAAUGGUAAAUAUGCACAUGCAGAAAGAAGUGCAAUAAUUACUUAGUUAAAACUAAAGCAAACCAUCCAAAUAAUUAAUUUAAAGAAGGAACCCACACCAC